AGGAAUAUUGGUCAAUGGGCUUACGCCUGAACCAGCCAAGUCGCGUGAGGGAAGACUGCCCUAUGGGUUGUAAACCUCUUUUGUCAGGGAGCAAUUGGCGCUACGUGUAGCGUUAUCGAGAGUACCUGAAGAAAAAGCAUCGGCUACCUCCGUUCCAGCAGCCGCGGUAAUACGGAGGAUGCGAGCGUUAGCCGGAUUUAUUGGGUUUAAAGGGUGCGUAGGCGGAAUGCCAAGUCAGCGGUAAAAUCGCGGGGCUCAACCUCGCUCCGCCGUUGAAACUGGCGUUCUUGAGUGGGCGAGAAGUAUGCGGAAUGCGUGGUGUAGCGGUGAAAUGCAUAGAUAUCACGCAGAACUCCGAUUGCGAAGGCAGCAUACCGGCGCCCAACUGACGCUGAAGCACGAAAGCGUGGGUAUCGAACA
rnacentral:rRNA from 1 species